AGCUUGGACUACAGGAAGGAAUUAAGAUCUCGUUUCCUCACUGAAAUCCAGAAAGAAAAGAUUUUCUGCUGAAGAGAGGUACAAAGGAAUUGAAAGCCAACUAAGGUGGGCAUAAACAUCGAAAAAUCUGCUUCAACUUCAAAUGUGCAAACUGCUGGAGAAGCUACAACAUUAUAUUUUGCAUGCUUAUUCUUUAAAAUAUACUCGACAUUGCUGUAUAGAUUAUACAUUUAUCCAUAACAUUGUAUAAUUCAGAGUUACCCAUCUAGAGCAAAUAUAUCCUUUAUCUUAUGCAAUCAUGAUUUAAGAGAUUUUCACUGUGAUUCUUGUGACUUUUCCACAGUUGUUGAUUCUGCAAAGCCCUCAGAUAAAUCACAACUUAACCGUGUGUAUGUAUAAAGGUAGUUCUCCCCAUGACUUCGUUAUGUAAGAAUCAGCUAUAGCUCCUUUCUGACUUUAAAGACAGCAAGAACUUUUGAGCAUAUAAUUUUCAGUUGGCUAUAAAAAUAAUUUUUAAAAAUUGUGAAAGUAAUAGGAUAAUAUUUUAGAAAAUUGAGGAUAUAGAGAAAGAAAAAAAUACCACUCUAAUAAGUAAUGUUUUACCAUUUUCAAAAUAGUUCUUCCUGUUGUUUGUUGGAGCCUCUGAAGGGACUCCAUGUACAGAAACACCCCUCCCCACUUGGUUCUGAUCAAGUUAAUAAACUAAAACAAAAAAUAAGGCAGAGGAGGUCCAAAAAUUAUCUUUACUGUUGGGAUAAGGGCUCUUGGUCUGCCAUAUGGGUUGCUAAUAUUGAAUAUUGAUUGAACAUUGAAUAUUGCUAACAUUGAGUGUGCCAGCAAUACUAGCACAGUAGGCCUCUCUUUGAAGGGUCAGACUCCUGGAAUAUCAGAGGAACAUGAGUUCCCUGAAGCCAGGACAAUCCUAAGGGUGAAUUGAGUCAAACACCCUCAGUUAUUCUUUCCAAAUUUAGCAAUCAGUUAACCCAACUGACUCCACCUUUCUAGGGCCAGUGUAAAUAAAGGGAAGAGGGGAGGUUAAGAGGAGAGCUUAGAAGAAAAUCCUUUCCACAGAAAAUGGAAAUGGGAAAAGGUGUUUUGUUUUUAUGAGUUUUUAAAAAACAAACAGAAGAACAUAUUUCUACACUCAUAUAAAGAGAACAAAGCAAGAGUUUCAAUGGAGUCACGAUUGUUGUCAUAUGAAGACAAGUGUGUAAAAAAAAGAGUUCACACAGCAGGUUUGGGACUGCUAGUCUUAGAAAUGCCUGCUUGAAAGAUUGGCCUUUGGAUGGCAUCUGGAAAUUCGGGUUUCGAGAGGGUUUUCAUCAUGACCAGAACUGAUAAGAGAAGCUCACUGUGCGUAAAUUGUUCAAACAAUAUGAAUUAUGUGGAACUCUUGCUUUCCUUCUGGGAGUUCGGAAUUUUGAUAUAUGUUAAGCAGAGAGUGCCUACACAACCGGCCCCCAAUAAAAAUCUUGAGAAGUGAA